CUCGGUGUGGCGCAGAUGGCAGCGCGCGUGAUUUGGGAACACGAGGCCGCAGGUUCGAGACCUGCCACCGAGACCA
rnacentral:tRNA from 1 species